GGACUCUAAAGAAACAUGACUGAACAGGUAAAAGUGCACACUAAUCAUUUAGCAAAUCUGGCAAGAUGGCAAAGAUUUAUAGGGGUUUUUCAAAAGGGAGGGGUUUGCUAUUCAAUUGCUUCUUUUCUCCAGGAAAUCUCCAACAUUUCCACUCAAUAGACACCCACACACGUACAUUAGAAACCUGUAUGUCACGUGACAAAGGUGUACAUGUUUCUGUAUGUAUGUGGGUGUGUGUUUUGCCUGCCAGGGUCACACCUGUCGGGCGGUGCCAGCGGUGGGAGGGAUGUCACUCACUCACACUCAUUCACUCCUCUCUCUCUCUCUCUCUCUCUCUCUCUCUCUCUCUCUCUGUGGCAGGUCAAGUCUUUUGAGUCUGUAGCAUGAGUGACAAUGGCUGAGUGUUAGAGCACCAUGGCCGGUCAAAGGAUUUACAAGGCUGACCGAAGACUGGGAAUGCAUCAAGCAGAGAGUGAGAGGUCCGGAGAUAAAGCUCUCAGCUGUUUGAACCACAGAGGAGGAAUAAAACGCUGCUUUCUUUGGUCUGGAGAAGUGUAGGACAGGAGCUGUCCCGCGAG